AAUGAACGCUGGCGGCGCGCCUAAUACAUGCAAGUCGAGCGAGAAGACGUAGCAAUACGUUUGUAAAGCGGCGAACGGGUGAGGAAUACAUGGGUAACCUACCCUCGAGUGGGGAAUAACUAGCCGAAAGGUUAGCUAAUACCGCGUACGCUCCUUGGACUUCGGUUCAGGGAGGAAAGCGAUACCGUGGGUAUCGCGCUCUUGGAUGGGCUCAUGUCCUAUCAGCUUGUUGGUGAGGUAACGGCUCACCAAGGCUUCGACGGGUAGCUGGUCUGAGAGGACGAUCAGCCACACUGGCACUGCGACACGGGCCAGACUCCUACGGGAGGCAGCAGUAAGGAAUAUUGCGCAAUGGGCGAAAGCCUGACGCAGCGACG
rnacentral:rRNA from 1 species